rnacentral:rRNA from 1 species
UACGGGGGGGGCAAGCGUUGUUCGGAAUUACUGGGCGUAAAGGGCUUGUAGGCGGCCAACUAAGUCAGACGUGAAAUCCCUCGGCUUAACCGGGGAACUGCGUCUGAUACUGGAUGGCUAGAGGUUGGGAGAGGGAUGCGGAAUUCCAGGUGUAGCGGUGAAAUGCGUAGAUAUCUGGAGGAACACCGGUGGCGAAGGCGGCAUCCUGGACCAAUUCUGACGCUGAGGAGCGAAAGCCAGGGGAGCAAACGGG